UGCAAAUGGUCACCCUGAAUCUCUUCUGACAUUGGAUGUUAUUUGCUUAUAUUCUUAUAAUUUUAAAUGAGGGGACAGUGAAAUGAAAAUUUUAUACUCUAUGUUUCUGUUUAUUUUUAAAUCCUUAACAGCAAAAUAUUUGCCUUUAAUUUCUUUUUUAUAUAUACUCUCAGAGAAUUCCUCUUAAUUUUUAAAGAUGCUGGUGAUAAU
rnacentral:lncRNA from 1 species